rnacentral:lncRNA from 1 species
GGCUGAGGUGGAGCCGAGAGCCGGUUUAGUUGGCAAGCCUCGGCCCCAUAGGGAGGACGUGAGUGUUGACCUGCAUGUUGCUGAAACUGAUUGGAUGCUCAGAUUGGAAAUUCACGCAUGUCCCACAAAGACUGAAAAUUACGCGGUGCCGGGGUGCAGACAGGCGGGUUUAGUGCCAACACGCGGCGCAUCCUCACAUCCCUCACAAAGGCACGCGGCACACUGACUCCCGGGACGUGAUGAGGAGCUGCCAAUACUAAGGCCUGCCUCAUGAGAAAUCCUGACCCACCUGUAGCAUCAAGGUCAAGAUAAUCCUGUGAGGAGUCAUGUGGUACCUUAUGUAGUGUCACCAGGACAGCACUAUGACCCCUUGUCCCUGCAGGCCCUACCACUCUACACGGCCUCAGUCGUCAGGUCAGCACCAGACUGAUCAUCAGUAUCUCAGGCUGCUGCAGCAAUAUGUAUGAACCAUGGAAAAUUUGAUGGUGGUGGCACCUAACAACUUUACAAUACAGCAUGGGGUGGUAUGCUGCACUCCCUCCCUCACCUUGAGUUGAGGGAGGCAAUGGUGCGGAUGAGGAGUUGCUGUGGUGGCAGGUUGUGGGCCAGUAAGUGGUGGUGCUCCUGCCAGCCCUCCCGCACCCAGCCCCCAGCCCCUGCGCCACCCAGUGAUCCCACAGCAACAUUUAGGUCGUCCUCAGAGUCGUCACAGCAGUGGGAUGGUCCUCGGAGGUCCUCUCUCUCCGAUGACCUGAAGUUAGAAAUUUCUGUUUUUAUGUUUCUGUAGUUAGAAAUUUCUGUUUUUAUGUUUGACUUACCUUCAUGCUGCUGCUAUUAUUAUUUAACUUUUUAUAUGGCAAAGUGCCAACUAUUAUACUCCAAUUGUCACUGAAUGAGAACAACAAUAGAGAUACUCCAAUUGUCACUGAAUGAGAACAGUAAAGAGAAAACUAUUGCACUGAAAAGAAUAAAUGCAAGCAGCUUUUGAAGUUAUGCUUCUGCUUAUAGACUUCAACCUGACUUAGCAUUAAAACUAAUUAUAAUUAAUGUACAAGAUAGAAGCUGAAGGGUGCAUCUUUCUUUUAGCAUGUAAAAAGAAAUGUACAAAUAAGAUUUACUAAAUAUACAGAUAAACCUUU